GACGAACGCUGGCGGCGUGCUUAACACAUGCAAGUCGAACGGAAAGGCACUGCUUUUGUGGGGUGCCCGAGUGGCGAACGGGUGAGUAACACGUGAGUAACCUGCCCUUGACUUUGGGAUAACUUAAGGAAACUGGGGCUAAUACCGGAUAGGAGCUCCUGCUGCAUGGUGGGGGUUGGAAAGUUUCGGCGGUUGGGGAUGGACUCGCGGCUUAUCAGCUUGUUGGUGGGGUAGUGGCUUACCAAGGCUUUGACGGGUAGCCGGCCUGAGAGGGUGACCGGCCACAUUGGGACUGAGAGACGGCCCAGACGCCUACGGGAGGCAGCAGUGGGGAAUAUGGCACAAUGGGCGGAAGCCUGAUGCAGCAACGCCGCGUUCGGGAUGACGGCCUUCGGGUUGUAAACCGCUGUCGCCUGUGACGAAGCGUGAGUGACGGUAAUGGGUAAAGAAGCACCGGCUAACUACGUG
rnacentral:rRNA from 1 species